UCCAUCUACGACAACGUUGUUAAUUAGUGUUACUUCAUUGGUAGUCCUGAGGAAAAUGACAUGAAUACUUACCAAAGCAUAAGACGAAACAAUAAAUCCACUUGGGUGAGAGCAGGCAAUGUAUAUGGGUAUACCAAUUUUGUAUACUUAUACAAUCCUGUGAAUCAAAGUUGGCAUUGCAUUAUAAACACCACAAGUGCAAUCUUUGGCAUGCUGUGUUUUUUGACAAGUUUCAGUCAUGGUGAAAUCGUACGCCCCUGCUACUGCCCAUCAAGCGCUAACCAUUGGAACCUCCCCCCCCCCCUGAUUCCGUGUUGAAAACCAAGUUUUAUUGAGGUAUGGUGUGUUUGCUUUGAACCUGGCAAAUUUUACGUUGAAUUCGCAUAGAAUAUUUGUAUUUGAAGUUUGUUUCCUGUUUUGAGAUGGAGCGACCAAGUGAGCUGGCUAAAGAUGGUAAAUGUGAAUAGUUAAUCAUAAUAAAUUGUAUAUUACAUUUCAAUAAUUUUGUUUAGCUCUAAUUCGAAGAUUACAAGCUUAGUUACUUGAGCAAAACCGGCUGUUAGAAGCCAGAAGGGGUACUUUUCAAACUGUUGAAUCUAAAAAUGGUACUUUUUUAAGUGUAACAGUUGUCUUGCCAAGAUUUCCAUCAGUGACUGAACGGGUUGGCCACGAGCUUCUUAAAAUACAAAAAAUGGAACAGUGGUGUGGCAGAACGAGCCAAAAAAAGUAAGGAUAGUCUACAUAAGCUGACUGAACAUUAUUUCUGCUGCUUGAAAGAAAUAUGGCAUCCCAAAGACAAAUGCCCAGACGAAGAACAACUUGAAGAACUGUCAAGCCUCUCCUAGGGCAUUAGGAACAUCAAAUACUACCGAGACUAGGGCAGUGCUGAGUUGUGCAGUGAAAUAGAGAAGCCUGGCAACCUGUGGAGGAUACUAUGAAAAGCAUGAAAAGUGGAAAAGUUUUGAAGCAUGUGAUGAGCAGCGUGCCGAUGAAAAAUCACUUAAAGGAAUAUUUCCAAAAAUUGUGUACAUCAUUCCAAUGCAAAACGGCAUUGUUGGAACGCCUGAUCCUAAUUUUCAAGUAACGACAGUUACAUGCAGGGAUUGUAAUAGGAAUAUUGCAAGAGAAAGGAUGUUCACUCAAAGGGAAAACGAAUUUUAAUGUAUUUUAAUACAGAAUUAAUAAACAUCUCAUCAUUUUGUCUAUUUUUAGUUUUGAGGAAAUGCCAUUGGAUGGGGUGUUGUAGUCUCGACUGUCUGAGUGACUGAGUGUGUCUGUGUAUUUGUAUUACUUAGUCUGGGAUGGCUGGUCUCUAAAUGGGGUUGGAGGAUGAGUGGCCAUUUAGCGGUAGAUAUUACAACAUGGGGUAAACAAAUACGGAUGUAGAUUGUCUUCUGCUCUUUCUCCUGCGGUCGUUAAUGAAGAAAGUCCAUCUCCCUCAACGAGCACCGUUUGCAACGAUUCAAGUCAUUCUCCAACGCAAAUCACAAGAAAGAAUGAUUACAGUCAGAGUCGUUCUCCGAUGUUCCAUCUUUCCAUGCAAGGAGAAAGGAGCCCAUCUGGCAACGAUUCGAUUGUUUCUCCAACGCGAAUGAGAAGACAGGAUAUAGCUACCGUUCCAGUCGUUCUCCAUAAAAAAGCAUUGAAUCCAAAAAUAAAAAAAAGACGUCGUUUGUCAAGGAGUCCAUCUCGCAACGAUUUGAUUCGUUCGCAAACGCAAAUGAGAUAACAGGAUAGCUGCUGUUAGGGCGCACCUUCCAAUAAGCCCAUCUGCUACCUUCUCCCCUUGAUUAUUAAAUACACGGAGAGUUGGGUUUCAACACUCUGUAUUUCACACGUCACUUGACUUGUAUAUGUCGUCAGCGUCCAGCUUCGAGUCCCGGAAUGACGUCCCUUUUCCGAACUCGUCACCUUCCGCCCUUUUAACGACACACCCCUUUUUACAAAUACA
rnacentral:lncRNA from 1 species